rnacentral:rRNA from 1 species
GACGAACGCUGGCGGCGUGCUUAACACAUGCAAGUCGAACGAAGUGGCGAACGGGUGAGUAAUGCGUAAUCAACCUGCCCUUCAGAGGGGGUCAACAGUGGGAAACGACUCCUAAUACCGCAUACUGAAGGAGGGGAUUGCGUUUGAUUAGCUCGCUGGAGGGGUAACGGCCCACCAAGGGGAUGAUGAGUAGCCGGUCUGAGAGGAUGAACGGCCACAUUGGGACUGGGACACGGCCCAGACUCCUACGGGAGGCAGCAGUGGGGAAUCUUCCGAAAUGGACGGAAGUCUGAAGGAGCAACGCCGCGGGAGUGAUGACGGCCUUCGGGUUGUAAAGCUCUGUUAAGCGGGACGCGGUACCGGAAUAGAAAGCCACGGCUAACUACGUGCCAGCAGCCGCGGUAAUAC